CUCCUCCCCCCCCUUUGGUUCAGUGUCAAUGCUAAACAGAAUGCACAGGAAGCCUUUGCAUGAUCCCCAAUCUCCUCACCAUCCCUCCUGCUUGACCCAUGGUAUCUUAUUUCCUCUUACUGCAUACAGAAAUUCUAGGAGAGAGGCAUUCGGAUUCGUUACUUGGGGCUGAUGAGGAUUAGUCACUUCGGGCUCUUGAGGGUGAGGAAUCCAUUGUUUCAUGAUAAACCAGAUAUGUUAGUUCGGCCUUGGCUUCAAGGAAUGACUCUCUCUCUCUCUCUCUCUCUUAUUCUGAUUGGUUGUUGUUUUCUAGGUCUGUGUUUUCCUCCAACCGACUUCUACCAAUGCUCACACUAACGGACUCUUCUGAUUUCCUACUGGGAAGGGGGUGGGGGAACCGAGAGUCAAUGGAAAUGCCAUGACAGGGACUCUGGAAUGGUGGAUAAAAUGCAGGUGGAGGUGAGCACAGUGAGGGAAAAGGGCAGAGUGAGAGUAUAGGAGUAGACAUCAAAAUGAUGAUGGAUGAUCUCUAGUGGUGGGUUUUCAGAUC